rnacentral:lncRNA from 1 species
UCAACCAUCUGAAGAAACAGUCGAAUUAAUACAAAAGAAAAAAAUUAUUUUUAUUAUAUUAAAAAAAAAUUACUAUAUAAAUAUCAAAAUAUAAAAAAUAAAAAACGAAAAAAAGUGAAAAUACAACAAAUCAAUCAAGUUGCUAAUAAAAUAGCAGAAGAAAAAUUUCCUCAGCUCGAAAGUAAAAAUAAUUAUUAUCAAAAAAAAUAUAGACCAAAGUUAUAAAAUAAUUAAUAAUGGAUUUAAUCCGAAUUUAAUUUACUUUCAUAAAAAUAUUAAACAACAUCAAAAACAAAUAGCUAUCCAAAGGUUAUGUGGAAUGCAUUUAAAAAAUGAUGCAGAUAAAUGGCUGUUAGAAAAUUGUCUAAAAUUAUUAAAAAACCAUGAAACGCCAAUUCCUCUGGUAAUUUAUGAUGGACCAAGUAUUUACUUAUCAUCCACAUUUGGAUAUAUAUAUAUACCCUUGGAUUUUUGUUUAAACGCCUUUUUUACAUUUUUAGAGAACAAUCUUGAUCAAGCAAGGAAAAUUCGAGCAAAGGUCUUAAAAUCCUUUGAUUAAAUAAUUUGGCCAAAAGUUAAAGACUAAAUCUUAUAUUUAAAACUCAGUUUAAGAAACCAAUAUAACACAUCAUUUUAGUUUGGGUGGUCCAAGAUAUAAAAAAAGUUAAUAUAUAUAUAUAUAUAUAUAUAACGUUAGCACUUUAUGGGUUAAUCUAAAGUGUUAGUUGUUAAUAGCAUUAUUAUAUAUAUGUACAUGGGAGUAUGUACAAUUUUGAGCAACACAUAAAUGCUGACACAUGUUUUUAAUUUAUAUUGUCUGUACAAUAAAUAUUUACUAGUUUUUUUUUUUUUUUUAUUU